rnacentral:rRNA from 1 species
UGCUCCUACGGGGCGCAGCAGUGGGGAAUAUUGCACAAUGGGGGAAACCCUGAUGCAGCGACGCCGCGUGAGUGAAGAAGUAUUUCGGUAUGUAAAGCUCUAUCAGCAGGGAAGAUAAUGACGGUACCUGACUAAGAAGCCCCGGCUAACUACGUGCCAGCAGCGGCGGGAAUACGUAGGGGGCAAGUGUUAUCCGGAUUUACUGGGGGUAAAGGGUGCGUAGGUGGCAGGGCAAGUCAGAUGUGAAAGCCCGGGGCUCAACCCCGGUACUGCAUUUGAAACUGUCAAGCUGGAGUGCAGGAGAG